AAGCCAGCACCUCAAGUGGUCAGGAGGAUUAUUGGGCCUAAAGCAUCCGUAGCCUGUUCUGUAAGUUUUCGGUUAAAUCCACUAGCUCAACUAGUGGGCUGCCGAAAAUACUGUAGAACUAGGGAGUGGGAGAGGUAGACGGUAUUCGGUAGGAAGGGGUAAAAUCCUUUGAUCUAUUGAGGACCACCUGUGGCGAAGGCGGUCUACCAGAACACGUUCGACGGUGAGGGAUGAAAGCUGGGGGAGCAAACCGGAUUAGAAACCCCGGUAGUCC
rnacentral:rRNA from 1 species